rnacentral:tRNA from 1 species
GCCUGGUUGGCUCAGUCUGUAGAGCAUACAACUCUUGAUUGUAGGGUGGUGAGUUCAAGUCCCAUGUUGGGUG